rnacentral:rRNA from 1 species
GCGAGUGAAGCGGCAACAGCUCAAAUUUGAAAGCUGGCUUAGGCCCGCAUUGUAAUUUGCAGAGGAUGCUUCUGGCGAGGUGCCUUCCGAGUUCCCUGGAACGGGACGCCAUAGAGGGUGAGAGCCCCGUAUGGAUGGACACCAGACCUGUGUGAAGCUCCUUCAACGAGUCGAGUAGUUUGGGAAUGCUGCUCUAAAUGGGAGGUAAAUCUCUUCUAAAGCUAAAUACCGGCCAGAGACCGAUAGCGCACAAGUAGAGUGAUCGAAAGAUGAAAAGCACCUUGAAAAGGGGGUUAAACAGUACGUGAAAUUGUUGAAAGGGAAGCGCUUGUGACCAGACUUGCGCCGGGCAGCUCAUCAGGGGUUCUCCCCUGUGCACUCUGCCCGGCUCAGGCCAGCAUCGGUUUUCGUGGGAGGAUAAGAACGGUAGGAACGUGGCCCCCCUUCGGGGGGGUGUUAUAGCCUGCCGUACGAUACUCCCGUGGGGACCGAGGUUCGCGCUCCGCAAGGAUGCUGGC